rnacentral:tRNA from 1 species
CGACUUAGCUCAGUAGGUAGAGCAACUGACUUGUAAUCAGUAGGUCACCAGUUCGAUUCCGGUAGUCAG